GGGGCGGGGCCUCGGCUGGCGCUCCGCUCCCUUUGGAGGCACCCGCUGGGGACCAGGAAGGGGAGGGUUGGAGAUUUUGCGUGAGAUCCAGAGGUCUGAGAGUAGAACUCACCAAGGGAAACUUGCUCUUCUUUCAGGAAAUGUACCUCAACCAGAUCUCAAAUCGCACAGUGGAAUGAGAAGUCACAAUAACAAGGCGCUAAGAUACCUGCACAAUAUUGAAAACAGCUGUUUUUAUUGUGGGCAAAAUCACACUGCCUUUGCAUCCUAUGCUCCAGGCAUAUGGAACCUUUGCCACCACUGAACAUCGUGAUCUUUCUACACCUCUGUGCCUUUGCACAUGGUAUUUCUUCUCCCUAAGAUCUGCUCUCCCCUCCUGCCCUCAUCAAACACCUCAGGGAUUACCUCCUGUAAGCCCUUCUCGAAAAUCUCCAUUCUCAGGCCGAGUUAGAUGCCCUUCCUUUGUAUGUGCCUUUAUCACAUCACAUCACGUAUUAAGAACUGGAAUUUUUUUUU